rnacentral:rRNA from 1 species
AUUGAACGCUGGCGGAAUGCUUUACACAUGCAAGUUGAACGGCAGCACGGACUUCGGUCUGGUGGCGAGUGGCGAACGGGUGAGUAAUGUAUCGGAACGUGCCCAGUCGUGGGGGAUAACGUAGUGAAAAUUACGCUAAUACCGCAUACGAUCUAUGGAUGAAAGCGGGGGAUCGCAAGACCUCGCGCGAUUGGAGCGGCCGAUAUCAGAUUAGGUAGUUGGUGGGGUAAAGGCCCACCAAGCCAACGAUCUGUAGCUGGUCUGAGAGGACGGCCACCCACGCUGGAACGGAGACACGGUCCAGACUCCUCCGGGAGGCAGCAGUGGGGAAUUUUGGACAAUGGGCGAAAGCCUGAUCCAGCCAUUCCGCGUGCAGGAUGAAGGCCCUCGGGUUGUAAACUGCUUUUGUACAGAACGAAAAGGUUUCUACUAAUACUAGGAGCUCAUGACGGUACUGUAAGAAUAAGCACCGGCUAACUACGUGCCAGCCGCCGCCGUAA